UACAGAGGGGGCAAGCGUUGUCCGGACUUACUGGGUGUAAAGCGCAUGCAGGUGGCUGUGCAAGUAUGCUGUGAAAGCCCCGUGCUUAACACGGGGAGGCCAGUAUAGACUGCACGGCUCGAGGACUGCAGAGGGUAGGGGAAUUCCUGGUGUAGCGGUGAAAUGCGCAGAUAUCAGGAGGAACACCGGUGGCGAAGGCGGGUCUCUGGGCCGAUACUGACGCUGAGGAGCGAAAGCGUGGGGAGCGAACAGG
rnacentral:rRNA from 1 species